rnacentral:lncRNA from 1 species
GGAGCGAGAGGUGGCCCCACGCUAGGUCCAGGACUUUGGGCGGGGAGGAAGCUGGGUUGGCGGCGUCCGUGCGGGGGCGUCGGAGCGGGAGGGCCAGAGACCAAAUCAAGGGCCCGGAGGUAACUGUGAGUCCAGGGCUCUGGUGGGAGUUGGGUGAUCGCCUAGUCCCUUUGAUUGGACUGUGUCCGCUCUCCUGGAAACUUGAGACAGACCCCCACCGUGAUACAGAUAGGAAAAUAGGGAAGCUAGGCUUGGCCUCCAAGACUGCUACUAUGGAACAAAGGAAGAGCACCAACUACAUACAGUCUGCUGAACACUUCAAGUUAUGCUAAUCACAACAUAGGAUGAGCAUCCCUAAUCCAAAAAUCCCAAGUUCAAAAUGCUACAAAGUCCACAACAUUUUGAACACAGACAUGACAUCACAAAUGAAAAAUUCCACACCUGACCUCAUGUGAUGGGUUGCAGUCAAAACACAGGUGCGUUAAGGACAUUGCAUAAAGUUACCUUCAGGCUAAGCAUAUAAAGCAUAUAUGAACAUGCAUAAGUGAUUUUUGUGU